GCCCGGGUGGCGGAAUUGGCAUACGCGUAGCACUCAAAAUGCUAUGACCGCAAGGUCUUGUGGGUUCAAGUCCCACCCCGGGCA
rnacentral:tRNA from 1 species